AUUGAACGCUGGCGGCAGGCCUAACACAUGCAAGUCGAACGAGUGGCGGACGGGUGAGUAAUGUCUGGGAAACUGCCAGAGGGAGGGGGCUAAAUAACGGAAACGGUAGCUAAUACCGCAUACCAUCGGAUGUGCCCAGAUGGGAUUAGCUCGUAGGGGGUGUAAAGGAUCACUUAGGCGACGAUCCCUAGCUGUUCUGAGAGGAUGACCAGCCACACUGGAACUGAGACACGGUCCAGACUCCUACGGGAGGCAGCAGUGGGGAAUAUUGCACAAUGGGCGCAACCCUGAGGCAGCCAUGCCGCGUGUAUGAAGAAGGCCUUCGGGUUGUAAAGUACUUUCAGCGGGGAGGCGUUACCCGCAGAAGAAGCACCGGCUAACUCCGUGCCAGCAGCCGCGGUAAUAC
rnacentral:rRNA from 1 species